rnacentral:lncRNA from 1 species
GCCGGCCAGCGCCGGCACAGUCCGCCGGUGGCAGCGGCGGCGAGCGCGCGUUUCAGCGAGUCGAGUGUGUCGUGUCGUGCCGAGUGUCGUGUCGUGUGGAGUGCGCGUCGUGCGGUGGAUGUGAGCUGUGUGCGGGUGGGUUUUGGUUAACCAACGACACCGUUUACUAAAUCAUUCUAAUUAGAUCCAUAAACCCACCUGAAAUUAAAUUUAGUGUAUUUUGUUAAAACUUUUGACUCCUCGGUCCAGCGGUGAAACUGUUCGUCUACGUAUCAUGUCCCGAGUUCGACUUUCAGAUUGAACGGGCACAAUCUGACCCCAGUUGUGUAAAAUCGCGUACAAUAACAGUUAAUUAACGUUUGCUUGAAUGGAUUUUGCGAUAGGGCCGGAUUAAGGAGGUCUAGAGGCUCUCGUAGUACGCGACGACAGCGCCCACCCGUCCGCGGCCCGCGUGAUGUUCGCUGCGACCGUCGCAGCGCCGGCUCUCGUGCUCACCGCUGAGGUGUCCGGCAUCGUGCCCGGCUAGUGCGGCGCACCACGCCUCAGACUGUCGGCCAACACAUACACGUAGGCAGCGCCCUGCGGGAUGCUCGCCGCGACCGUCGCAGCGCUUGCUCUGGCGCUCACCGAGGGCGCGGUGGGCCCGGCGCCGGCGCGGCUGGGCCCGUGGUUCGCCGAGCAGCC